GAUGAACGCUGACAGUAUGCUUAACACAUGCAAGUCGAAGGGCAACUGGUGCUUGCAUUAUGGUAACCAUGGCGGACGGGCGAGUAACGGGUGAGGGACUUACCAGCUGGAUUGGGGUAACAGGGGAAAACUCCUGACAAGCGCGGAUACUGUAUUGGACCUGCGUGGCUUAAUGAUGAAAGUGGACGCCUGCGGAGAGCCUUGCGUCCUAUUAGCUAGUAGGUGAGGUAAUGGCUCACCAAGGCGAAGAUAGAUAGCCGGCCUGAGAGGGUGGACGGCCACGAGGGGACUGAGAGACAGCCCUGACGCCUACUGGAGGCAGCAGUGAAGAAUAUUGGACAAUGAGCGCAACCCUGAACCAGCAAUUCUGGUUGCACGAAGAAGUUUUUCGGAAUGUAAAGUGCUUUCAGCAGGGAAGGAGUAAGUGACGGUACCUACAGAAUAAGCGACGGCUAAAUACGUG
rnacentral:rRNA from 1 species